AUGUACCACGCGCGCACUUCGGUUCUGAGCGCGCACGCACUCACCUGACGACCGCUCGCUACGUUUUGUUAGCC
rnacentral:sRNA from 1 species